rnacentral:lncRNA from 1 species
UGGGGUUGCAAAGAGUCGGACAUGACUGAGCGACUUUCACUUCACUUCACUUCAGGGGAAGUUUCAAAGGAAGAAGCGGCCCUGAGAUAGGAAAUAACAAGAGGACAUUCUUGAGUAGAGAAGAAAGAAUAAAGAAAGAUGUAGAGGAGGCCGAGCUCAGGAUAAGUUCAGAAGACAAGGAGUCAGCAAUCUGGUACAUGUCAGGGAGCCAUGAUGGAAGGACGAAGAAGCCAAUUCAGUGCGUGUUUCCAGGACCCGUUCAACAAAUAGCCGAGUUCUGCCAAGAUCUCUGCCGGCUCCCAUGAUUCCAAGCUCUCAGCUUGACUUGGCUCAGUGGACACUCAUUCCCCAUUACCUCACCUUGAAAGGAAAAGAAGGGGUGUUUAAAAUAGGAAGAGGGAUUACAAAAGAAGUUUUUGUUUUUUUUUCCCCCCGGUGAGGGCAUCUAGGGGGAGUCAGUCAAGCCUCAGACUUUUUUUGAAAAAUCUCAUUUUCUCAGAAUCUCUCAUUUCCU